CCCUUAGAGUUUGAUCCUGGCUCAGAACGAACGCUGGCGGCGUGCUUAAUACAUGCAAGUCGCACGAGAAAGUCCUUCGGGAUGAGUAGAGUGGCGCACGGGAGAGUAAUACAUAGGAACGUACCUUCAAGUGGGGAAUAACCACUGGAAACGGUGGCUAAUACCGCAUGGUGUCGAGAGACUAAAGAGGGCCUCUAUUUAUAAGCUCUCGCUUGAAGAGCGGCCUAUGUCCCAUUAGCUAGUUGGCGGGGUAAAAGCCCACCAAGGCGACGAUGGGUAGCUGGUCUGAGAGGAUGAUCAGCCUCACUGGGACUGAGACACGGCCCAGACUCCUACGGGAGGCAGCAGUAGGGAAUUUUGCACAAUGGGCGCAAGCCUGAUGCAGCAACGCCGCGUGAGUGAAGAAGGCCCUUGGGUUGUAAAGCUCUUUCGGCCGGGAAGAAGGGUUACCACGCGAACAGCAGGGUAAUCUGACGGUACCGGAAUAAGAAGCACCUGCUAACUACGUGCCAGCAGCAGCGGUAAUACGUAGGGUGCGAGCGUUGUUCGGAAUUACUGGGCGUAAAGGGCGCGUAGGCGGGUUUGUAAGUCGAUUGUGAAAUCCCCGGGCUUAACCUGGGAACAGCAGUCGAAACUGCAAAUCUUGGAUACCUGAGAGGAUGGCGGAAUUCCCGGUGUAGAAGUGAAAUUCGUAGAUAUCGGGAAGAACACCU
rnacentral:rRNA from 1 species